rnacentral:rRNA from 1 species
AUUGAACGCUGGCGGCAUGCCUUACACAUGCAAGUCGAACGGCAGCGCGGGGCAACCUGGCGGCGAGUGGCGAACGGGUGAGUAAUAUAUCGGAACAUACCCUAGAGUGGGGAUAACGUAGCGAAAGUUACGCUAAUACCGCAUACGCACUAAGGUGGAAAGUGGGGGAUCUUCGGACCUCAUGCUCAUGGAGUGGCCGAUAUCUGAUUAGCUAGUUGGUGAGGUAAAGGCUCACCAAGGCGACGAUCAGUAGCUGGUUUGAGAGAACGACCAGCCACACUGGAACUGAGACACGGUCCAGACUCCUACGGGAGGCAGCAGUGGGGAAUUUUGGACAAUGGGCGCAAGCCUGAUCCAGCCAUGCCGCGUGUCUGAAGAAGGCCUCGGGUUGUAAGGACUUUGUCGGUAGCGAAAUACCUAGUGGUUAAUAACCG